UACGGAGGGUGCAAACGUUGCUCGGAAUCAUUGGGCGUAAAGCGCACGUAGGCGGGCUGUCGCGUCGGCUGUGAAAACCCGGGGCUCAACCCCGGGCCUGCAGUCGAUACGGGCAGACUAGAGUGUGGUAGGGGAGACUGGAAUUCCUGGUGUAGCGGUGAAAUGCGCAGAUAUCAGGAGGAACACCGGUGGCGAAGGCGGGUCUCUGGGCAGUAACUGACGCUGAGGAGCGAAAGCGUGGGGAGCGAACAGG
rnacentral:rRNA from 1 species